GUUUUCAUUUAAACACGUGUGAAUACAUAACUACGGAUCGAACGACAGUACCGCUUGAACGGUCGGCCAUUUUCGCUGCUUUGUUUACGAAGAAAGUAUCGAAUCGCGACGGCUGACGGGUACCGCGGGUUGCGGAACGUAAGAGACGAAGAUGUUAUGACGUCACUACCAGCUAUUCACUAAUCAGCGUACAGCUUCCCGUGUGUUUGGGAGCAUUCUCUUUUCCGUACAUACUCCCUAUCUUCAUUGUUUAUUUUCAAACAUAAUAAAUAAUUCAAAAUGUUGCAGAUUUGAUGAAUAGUACUAUAUUUGCAGCUAAUUUUUUAUUUUUGAAUGUUAUUCUUGUUUCGAUAUAAGUAUAGUGCACAUUAUUAAAUUUUUAAGAAACUUUAACACAAAAAUAAAUAAUGUAAUUUGA